AUUGAACGCUGGCGGCAUGCUUUACACAUGCAAGUCGAACGGCAGCGGGGGCUUCGGCCUGCCGGCGGGUGGCGAACGGGUGAGUAAUGCAUCGGAACGUGCCCAUGUUGUGGGGGAUAACUACGCGAAAGCGUAGCUAAUACCGCAUAAGCCCUGAGGGGGAAAGCGGGGGAUUCUUCGGAACCUCGUGCGAUUGGAGCGGCCGAUGUCGGAUUAGCUAGUAGGUGAGGUAAAGGCUCACCUAGGCGACGAUCCGUAGCGGGUCUGAGAGGAUGAUCCGCCACACUGGGACUGAGACACGGCCCAGACUCCUACGGGAGGCAGCAGUGGGGAAUUUUGGACAAUGGGCGCAAGCCUGAUCCAGCCAUGCCGCGUGAGUGAAGAAGGCCUUCGGGUUGUAAAGCUCUUUCGGCCGGGAAGAAAUCGCAUUCUCUAACAUAGGAUGUGGAUGACGGUACCGGACUAAGAAGCACCGGCUAACUACGUGCCAGCCGCCGCCGUAA
rnacentral:rRNA from 1 species